UGCAUUCACUACUGUAAGUCACUCUGGUUAAGAGCAUCUGCUAAAUGACUAAAA
rfam:Salmo salar isolate Sally breed double haploid chromosome ssa18, whole genome shotgun sequence.